GGCUCAGGAUGAACGCUGGCGGCGUGCCUAAUACAUGCAAGUCGAGCGAACGGACGAGAAGCUUGCUUCUCUGAUGUUAGCGGCGGACGGGUGAGUAACACGUGGAUAACCUACCUAUAAGACUGGGAUAACUUCGGGAAACCGGAGCUAAUACCGGAUAAUAUUUUGAACCGCAUGGUUCAAAAGUGAAAGACGGUCUUGCUGUCACUUAUAGAUGGAUCCGCGCUGCAUUAGCUAGUUGGUAAGGUAACGGCUUACCAAGGCAACGAUGCAUAGCCGACCUGAGAGGGUGAUCGGCCACACUGGAACUGAGACACGGUCCAGACUCCUACGGGAGGCAGCAGUAGGGAAUCUUCCGCAAUGGGCGAAAGCCUGACGGAGCAACGCCGCGUGAGUGAUGAAGGUCUUCGGAUCGUAAAACUCUGUUAUUAGGGAAGAACAUAUGUGUAAGUAACUGUGCACAUCUUGACGGUACCUAAUCAGAAAGCCACGGCUAACUACGUGCCAGCAGCCGCGGUAAUACGUAGGUGGCAAGCGUUAUCCGGAAUUAUUGGGCGUAAAGCGCGCGUAGGCGGUUUUUUAAGUCUGAUGUGAAAGCCCACGGCUCAACCGUGGAGGGUCAUUGGAAACUGGAAAACUUGAGUGCAGAAGAGGAAAGUGGAAUUCCAUGUGUAGCGGUGAAAUGCGCAGAGAUAUGGAGGAACACCAGUGGCGAAGGCGACUUUCUGGUCUGUAACUGACGCUGAUGUGCGAAAGCGUGGGGAUCAAACAGGAUUAGAUACCCUGGUAGUCCACGCCGUAAACGAUGAGUGCUAAGUGUUAGGGGGUUUCCGCCCCUUAGUGCUGCAGCUAACGCAUUAAGCACUCCGCCUGGGGAGUACGACCGCAAGGUUGAAACUCAAAGGAAUUGACGGGGACCCGCACAAGCGGUGGAGCAUGUGGUUUAAUUCGAAGCAACGCGAAGAACCUUACCAAAUCUUGACAUCCUUUGACAACUCUAGAGAUAGAGCCUUCCCCUUCGGGGGGGCAAAGUGACAGGUGGUGCAUGGUUGUCGUCAGCUCGUGUCGUGAGAUGUUGGGUUAAGUCCCGCAACGAGCGCAACCCUUAAGCUUAGUUGCCAUCAUUAAGUUGGGCACUCUAAGUUGACUGCCGGUGACAAACCGGAGGAAGGUGGGGAUGACGUCAAAUCAUCAUGCCCCUUAUGAUUUGGGCUACACACGUGCUACAAUGGACAAUACAAAGGGCAGCGAAACCGCGAGGUCAAGCAAAUCCCAUAAAGUUGUUCUCAGUUCGGAUUGUAGUCUGCAACUCGACUACAUGAAGCUGGAAUCGCUAGUAAUCGUAGAUCAGCAUGCUACGGUGAAUACGUUCCCGGGUCUUGUACACACCGCCCGUCACACCACGAGAGUUUGUAACACCCGAAGCCGGUGGAGUAACCUUUUAGGAGCUAGCCGUCGAAGGUGGGACAAAUGAUUGGGGUGAAGUCGUAACAAGGUAGCCGUAUCGGAAGGUGCGGCUGGAUCACCUCCUUU
rnacentral:rRNA from 1 species